rnacentral:rRNA from 1 species
ACGAACGCUGGCGGCGUGCCUAAUACAUGCAAGUUGAGCGCUGAAGGUUGGUACUUGUACCGACUGGAUGAGCAGCGAACGGGUGAGUAACGCGUGGGGAAUCUGCCUUUGAGCGGGGGACAACAUUUGGAAACGAAUGCUAAUACCGCAUAAAAACUUUAAACACAAGUUUUAAGUUUGAAAGAUGCAAUUGCAUCACUCAAAGAUGAUCCCGCGUUGUAUUAGCUAGUUGGUGAGGUAAAGGCUCACCAAGGCGAUGAUACAUAGCCGACCUGAGAGGGUGAUUGGCCACAUUGGGACUGAGACACGGCCCAAACUCCUACGGGAGGCAGCAGUAGGGAAUCUUCGGCAAUGGACGAAAGUCUGACCGAGCAACGCCGUGUGAGUGAAGAAGGUUUUCGGAUCGUAAAACUCUGUUGGUAGAGAAGAACGUUGGUGAGAGUGGAAAGCUCAUCAAGUGACGGUAACUACCCAGAAAGGGACGGCUAACUACGUG